AUAAAGACAUUGAAGAGGAGAGUAGCGCAGCUAAAAGCAAAAGAGAGAGGUCUCUAGGCUGAAAGGACCUUGGCGGAAAGCUGUGUGAAAUGCACCUUGGAGUCUCUCUUUUGAACAGAGUAGGAAGAGACGUAUAUCUGCGUUAAAGAUCGGAGUGGAGAGAAAUCUCAACCAGAGUGGAACCGCGGGAAGCCGUCUCUGUA
rnacentral:ncRNA from 1 species